AUGCUCAGGGUGCAUCGACUUGAUCACGAGGUAGCUGCACUUGCUUUGAGGAGGUUUCAUCAGAUUGAUGUGGGCGCACAAUCUGUCAAUAAGUACAUGUGGCGGGAAGUGCUCGAACCUGAUUUCUCGUUUUUCGUUCUUGUCAUUCUUGAGCAUGGAUGGGUUGCAUACAUGUGGGAUAUGCUCAAGGAGAUUCAUAUACUGGACCCAUUAUGUGUUCAAGUUGCAGGAGCAGAGCAGAGGCAUAUUGUCCACCAAGAGGCUGUGUUGCAGUUACACACAACAUUAUUCAGUUGCCUCAAUGAUUUUUUUCCGAAAUGGCAUUGUCCAUCCGAGAAAUGGAAGCGCAGGUUCCCUAAGAUAACAUGUGACAUCUUCUCAAGGGAUGAGUCAGGAUAUACGAACUACAUACGCAGUGUCGAACACAUAUACCUCUUGGUCCAGCCGGGCACCUGA
rnacentral:rRNA from 1 species